rnacentral:rRNA from 1 species
AUGACUCUCGGCAACGGAUAUCUCGGUCCUCGCAUCGAUGAAGAACGUAGCGAAAUGCGAUACUUGGUGUGAAUUGCAGAAUCCCGUGAACCAUCGAGUUUUUGAACGCAAGUUGCGCCCUAAGCUUCCGGGCCGAGGGCAAGCCUGCGUGGG